rnacentral:misc_RNA from 1 species
CAACCCUUAAGCCUAGCUUAGUGUUGGGAAUCUACUAAUGCAUGUUUACAUGCUGUAGUUCCUGAAAUCAAACGGCGGAUUUAUUGUAUCCUCUGAGCGUAGUAAAUCUUUUUCUCGCUUUUGUUAGGUGCUAUAACUCUUGCCGCUAAACCCCCAAUUUUUAAUGG